AGCGAACGCUGGCGGCAGGCUUAACACAUGCAAGUCGAGCGGGCGUAGCAAUACGUCAGCGGCGGACGGGUGAGUAACACGUGGGAACGUACCCUUUGGUUCGGGACAACUCUGGGACACUGGAGCUAAUACCGGAUACGCCCUUUUGGGGAAAGGUUUACUGCCGAAGGAUCGGCCCGCGUCUGAUUAGCUAGUUGGUGGGGUAACGGCCUACCAAGGCGACGAUCAGUAGCUGGUCUGAGAGGAUGAUCAGCCACACUGGGACUGAGACACGGCCCAGACUCCUACGGGAGGCAGCAGUGGGGAAUAUUGGACAAUGGGCGCAAGCCUGAUCCAGCCAUGCCGCGUGAGUGAUGAAGGCCUUAGGGUUGUAAAGCUCUUUUAUCCGGGACGAUAAUGACGGUACCGGAGGAAUAAGCCCCGGCUAACUUCGUGCCAGCCGCCGCGGUAACAC
rnacentral:rRNA from 1 species